rnacentral:rRNA from 1 species
AUGCUUCUCUACCAUUCCAUAUGGUCUCUGCACCCGCCUCGUGCUACACCGCAUUCUUUCAGCUUCAACUUCUCCCAGCCCGGUGGCUAUGAUGCCCAAGAUUUCAGUUUUGAGGGCGAUGCAUACUACGACUCCCAGUCUCAGAGGAUCGAGCUGACAAAAGGCGGGGGGAGUCCGAACAUCCAAAACAGCGUGGGCCGAGCAUUGCACUCGCAGCCGGUGCCGCUGUGGGAUGUCGACACAGGCGAGCUCACCCGGUUCACCACCUCCUUCACUUUUCGAAUCAAUGUAAGUGGUCCUGUCAGUGGCGAUGGCUUGGCAUUCUUCCUUGGUCAUUAUCCUCCGACAAGCAUUCCUGAUCCCCUCGACAACGGCAAGAACCUUGGACUCUUUAACCGAAACGUCAGCACGGUCGCGACUGGCGAUGAACGAGCGGUGGCGGUUGAGUUUGACACUUUCUUGAACCCCGGCAUCGACACCAGCGGCAGCCACAUGGGCAUCGAUGUUAACUCCAUCAUCUCGCGGGCUUACACCAACGUGACCGUGCAUGGCAAGUUAACAGCCGGCCUGCCUAUGACUUGCCAUAUCAGCUACGGAAACGACACAAAAGUACUAGCCGCCAUUCUCCAGAUCGGCGACGUCACCUACCAUGUGAACACAAGUGUUGACCUGCGUCAGCUCCUGCCCAGUGUUGUGUCCAUCGGCUUCUCGGGUGCUACUGGCGUGGCGGUCGAGCUACACCAAAUAAUAUCCUGGUCAUUUAACUCUACCUUGGAUCCAUCGCCUGCACGGAAGAUUUUGUGGAAACAAAUAGCAGAGCUGUGCACAAGAAAGAAGCCAUACAAAGCUCUCGCCGAUGGCCGUAAACAUAUUGGUUAUCAUAAGCUGGCACGUGCGACCAACAAAUUCGCAGAGGAAAACAAGCUUGGUCAAGGAGGUUCGGCCUUUUUUUAUCGGGGCCUUUUGAAAAGUAGCGAGGUGGCGAUAAAGAGAUUCAAGCUGGUUGCAUCAGGCGAGGGGAGGAAGGCGUUCGAGGAUGAACUCAUGAUCGCUAGUCGCCUACGACAUAAGAAUCUUGUCAAGUUGAUAGGCUGGUGCUAUGAUGGCCAGAGGAACCCGGUUGAGUUCAUAUGUUGGUGGUGGGACGAAAGGUACACACGUCUGUUCCUUGUGUAUGAGCUUUUGCAAGAAGGUAGCCUUGAUCGACACCUACACGGGGGCAACAGUUUGUUACCGUGGUCCAAGAGGCACGAGAUUAUCCUCAACCUAGGUUCUGCACUACAAUACCUCCAUGUAGAUUGCGAGCAAGAUCAACAGUGUAUUGUACAUGGUGAUAUCAAAUCGAGUAACAUAUUACUUGGCUCUUCGUCUGGUGCCAAGUUAGGUGACUUUGGAUUGGCAAGAUUUGUUCACCACGAAACUGGGUCACAGACCACGAAUGUUGUACAGGAGAUGGUCUCUGGAAGGAACCCAACAGAUCAGAAUAUGCCUCCAUUGUCGUCAUGGGUAAGAAGUAAGUAUGACGGGAAUGCGAUCCUGGAGGUAGUAGACGAAAGGCUGAUAAACGGCGAGGUCACUAAUGGGCUUCAGCAGAAGAAGCAUGCGCUACUCAUCGGACUCUUGUGCGCACACCAGGACCCGAGCAGCCGACCGUCCAUCACCGACGCCAUGAAUGCCCUUGGAUCGGAUUCCGAGGAGCUGACACUGGACAUGACUCCCCUAGAGACGAUUACACACUCAUUGCCAUUAUCUUUGUAG